AUAUGAUGAUGGGGGCAGUUUGUACAUAACUUCUUGAAACGCUUCCAAUAUUCAUGUAGGGAUUCUAUGCCUUUCUGUCUUACACCACAAAUUUCUUUUCAAAUGU
rnacentral:snoRNA from 1 species